CCUACGGGUGGCAGCAGUAGGGAAUUUUGCGCAAUGGGGGAAACCCUGACGCAGCAACGCCGCGUGAUCGAUGAAGCCCUUCGGGGUGUAAAGAUCUGUCAGUGGGGACGAAACCUGACGGUACCUGAUUAAGAAGCCCCGGCUAACUACGUGCCAGCAGCCGCGGUAAUACGUAGGGGGCAAGCGUUAUCCGGAUUUACUGGGUGUAAAGGGAGCGCAGACGGCAGUGCAAGUCUGGAGUGAAAGCCCGGGGCCCAACCCCGGAACUGCUCUGGAAACUGUGCGGCUAGAGUACUGGAGGGGCAGGCGGAAUUCCUAGUGUAGCGGUGAAAUGCGUAGAUAUUAGGAGGAACACCAGUGGCGAAGGCGGCCUGCUGGACAGUAACUGACGUUGAGGCUCGAAAGCGUGGGGAGCAAACAGGAUUAGAUACCCCAGUAGUC
rnacentral:rRNA from 1 species